rnacentral:rRNA from 1 species
AGAGUUUGAUCCUGGCUCAGAGCGAACGCUGGCGGCAUGCUUAACACAUGCAAGUCGCACGGUCAGCAAUGGCAGUGGCGGACGGGUGAGUAACACGUAGGAAUCUAUCCUGGGGUGGGGGACAACAGUGGGAAACUACUGCUAAUACCGCAUGAUACCUGAGGGUCAAAGGCGCGAGUCGCCUUGGGAGGAGCCUGCGUCUGAUUAGCUUGUUGGUGGGGUAAAGGCCUACCAAGGCGACGAUCAGUAGCUGGUCUGAGAGGAUGAUCAGCCACAUUGGGACUGAGACACGGCCCAAACUCCUACGGGAGGCAGCAGUGGGGAAUAUUGGACAAUGGGGGAAACCCUGAUCCAGCAAUGCCGCGUGUGUGAAGAAGGUCUUCGGAUUGUAAAGCACUUUUGGCAGGGACGAUGAUGACGGUACCUGCAGAAUAAGCCCCGGCUAACUUCGUGCCAGCAGCCGCGGUAAU